rnacentral:rRNA from 1 species
UGCCAGCCGCCGCGGUAAUACGGAGGGGGUUAGCGUUGUUCGGAAUUACUGGGCGUAAAGCGCACGUAGGCGGAUUGGAAAGUUGGGGGUGAAAUCCCAGGGCUCAACCCUGGAACUGCCUUUAAAACUGUUAGUCUUGAGAUCGAGAGAGGUGAGUGGAAUUCCAAGUGUAGAGGUGAAAUUCGUAGAUAUUUGGAGGAACACCAGUGGCGAAGGCGGCUCACUGGACCGUGAUCGACGCUGAGGAGCGAAAGCUAGGGGAGCAAACAGGAUUAGAUA